rnacentral:lncRNA from 1 species
AGGAGGUCUUUUCAACACUAAGUACUUUCAUACAUGUUAUCUCGGACAUCCUGUACAAACACAAUUAUCAACACAACAUAUACCCUAGCACAGCUCAACUCAGAAACACAUUUUUAGGAUGCUCCUCGAUUUAUAGCGGGGUUAUUCCUGAUAAAGGCCUUGCAUGUACUACUCGUAACCUCCAGAGCCCCACAGCUCAUCAACACAGUUUACUCCAGAGCACCAGGUGCGAUGGCAGGCUGACUGGGAGUUGGGCUAGCCACCCCUGGCCAGCACAAAUGUAAGUACUGCCAAUCAGUAACAAGUUUGUGCAUAUGUUACUCCUAAUGUCUUAAUGAAUUUGCUUUUUCACAACUCGGCAAUUCAUGGUAGAGCCUUGUCUUAGAAAUGCAGACAUCAAAGGAAUUAACUCAGGCUUUUGGUUCAAGAGAGACAGAGCCUAGAUUCAGAGAUGGUCUUGUUCCAACAUUCAACCUCCACUGACAUAAAUUAUAAGUUUGUUAGUCUUGCCCCCCCCAAAGCCAAUUAGAUAAUAGGAUUUAUCUCUCCACUUACCAUGAUAUAGUUCAGUUCCCAGCACCCACAUGGCAGCUUGCAACUAUUCUAGUUCCAGGGUAUCCAAUGCCCUCUUCUGGACUUUGUGAGUACCUUCAUGCAUGUAGUCCACGAUAAGCAGUCACACACACAUGGACACAUAAAAACAUUUUUGUCUUUAAAGUUAAGAUGACUUGUGGAAC